rnacentral:rRNA from 1 species
UGGGGAAUUUUGGACAAUGGGCGCAAGCCUGAUCCAGCAAUGCCGCGUGCAGGAAGAAGGCCUUCGGGUUGUAAACUGCUUUUGUACGGAACGAAACGGCUCUGGUUAAUACCCGGGGCUAAUGACGGUACCGUAAGAAUAAGCACCGGCUAACUACGUGCCAGCAGCCGCGGUAAUACGUAGGGUGCGAGCGUUAAUCGGAAUUACUGGGCGUAAAGCGUGCGCAGGCGGUGCUGUAAGACAGGCGUGA